rnacentral:rRNA from 1 species
UACGUAGGGUGCAAGCGUUGUCCGGAAUUAUUGGGCGUAAAGAGCUCGUAGGCGGUUUGUCGCGUCUGCUGUGAAAUCUGGGGGCUCAACCCCCAGCCUGCAGUGGGUACGGGCAGACUAGAGUGCGGUAGGGGAGAUUGGAAUUCCUGGUGUAGCGGUGGAAUGCGAAGAUAUCAGGAGGAACACCGAUGGCGAAGGCAGAUCUCUGGGCCGUAACUGACGCUGAGGAGCGAAAGCAUGGGGAGCGAACAGG